UAAGAAUUGAGUUUUGCUGAAUCUUUAAUUGGAAAAGAUGAUUUGCUGGUUAAUGAUUGACUACUUUUAAUUGUUGGCAAAUUGUGAACUGGAUAAAAUUAUACUAAUUUAAUGAAAGAUGAACUAGAACAGGUAAUAAUACUAAUGGAAACAGAGGAUUAUUAAACUGAUAAUGUUUAGUUGAUCAUGUAGUUUUAAAUGGUAAACAAACAGUGAAAUAAGUACUGCUCAUUGAUGACAUAAAACUGUCUGUUGAUAUUGACUUUUGACCUUCUUGGUUUUUUGCAAAAUUUUAAAUGAUACGCAAUGUUUGCUUUCUUUUCCUUUUUUAAGCAAUCAAGCAGUAAGCCGAUAGAAAGCAACAAAGCAAAUAGGAAAAGUUCAUUUGAAAUAUUUAUAUGGCAUAGUGUGAAGGUUGAAAACCAUUGAACAGUUGUUAACAAUCUGAUGAUGAUGAAGAUGAAUGGGGAUAAAGCCCCUGACCCAGAUGGUUUGACUGUAGCCUUCUGGCAAAACGCAUGGGACUUUACCAAAGAGGAGAUCAUGGAGAUGUUUAAAGAAUUUCAUGAGCAUAAUUCCUUUGUUAGGAGCCUCAACAAUACUUUUUUGGUGUUGAUACCUAAGAAAAGCGGGGCGGAGGAUUUGGGAGUCUUUAGACCUAUCAGUCUGUUGGGGGGUCUCUAUAAACUUUUGGCUAAAGUCUUAGCUAAUAGGCUAAAAAAAGUGAUUGGUAAGGUGGUCUCUAGUGCUCAAAAUGCCUUUGUAAUGGGAAGACAAAUUCUGGAUGCGUCCUUAAUUGCUAAUGAGGUGAUAGAUUUGUGGCAGAAGAGAAAAGAAAAGGGCCUUAUUUGCAAAUUGGAUAUAGAAAAAGCUUAUGACAGCAUUAAUUGGAAUUUUUUAAUGAAGGUCCUUCAAAAAAUGGGCUUUGGGAACAAGUGGGUCCCGGAUGUGGAGCUGUGUGUCUUCUGCAAAAUUCUCUAUUCUUGUUAAUGGAGUGCCAGCUGGGUUUUUCCCUAGCACUAGAGGGCUUCGUCAAGGGGAUCCUCUAUCCCCUUACCUCUUUGUUAUGGGAAUGGAGGUUCUGGACGUUCUCAUCAGGAGAGCGGUGGAGGGGGGAUAUCUUUCAGGAUGCAACAUUCGGGGUGGUAGUAGAACUUCAUUGAAUAUCUCCCACCUAUUUUUUGUUGAUGACACAAUUGUGUUUUGUGAGGCGAGCAAAGAACAAGUCUCUCAUCUAAGCUGGAUUCUCUUUUGGUUUGAAGCGGCUUUGGGUCUUCGAAUGAACCUAGCCAAAAGCGAAAUCAUUCCAGUUGGAGAAGUGGAGGAGAUUCUUGAGUUGGCAGCUGAGCUAGGGUGCAAGGUGGGGUCUCUGGCCUCCCAAUAUUUGGGUCUCCCUUUAGGGGUCCCCAAUAGGGCUUCUUCUAUGUGGGAUGGAGUGGAAGAGAGGGUCAGGAGGAGACUUGCGCUUUGGAAAAGACAGUACAUUUCCAAAGGGGGGCGGAUCACUCUUAUAAAAAGUACCUUGGCUAAAAGAGUGGAGAAAACCCAAAGAGAUUUCCUAUGGGGGGGUGGAAACUUGGAGGGAAAAAUUCAUCUAGUUAAAUGGGAUGUGGUCUGCACAGAAAAACUCAAUGGAGGGCUAGGAUUAAGGAGGAUAGCCACUCUGAAUAGAGCCUUGUUGGGCAAGUGGACUUGGAGGUUUGCGUGUGAAAAGGAUAACCUUUGGAAACAAGUGAUUUCUACGAAAUAUGGGCAAGAGGAACAUGGUUGGAGGGCUAAGAAGGCUAGUGGGGCGGCUGGAGUUGGGGUCUGGAAGGAGAUUAUGAAAGAAUCUGAAUGGUGCUGGGAAAAUUUGGCUUUUCUAGUUGGGAAGGGUUCCAAAAUUAAAUUUUGGAAAGAUAGUUGGUGCACUGAUACUCCGUUGUCCCAAUGUUUCAACCACCUUUUUGUCCUUGCUGUGCAGAGACGCCACGAUUGAGGAGAUGUGGGACCAACAUUCGGGCCAAGGAGAUUGGAAUCUUGUUUUUGUGAGGGACUUCAAUGAUUGGGAGUUGGAUAUGGUUGGUGAUCUGCUCCAUACUUUGAGGGGUCAUAGGCCUUCCCUGGAGGAUGACUCAGUUAAAUGGAGGCAAGGAAGAAAUGGUCUCUUCAGGGUUAAAGAAGCUUACAGGAUUUUGGACAAGCCUAAUGCCACAGUGUUUCCCGCAAGGAGAAUAUGGGUGGAUAGGGUGCCAACUAAAGUCCGCUUUUUUGCUUGGGAGGCUACAUGGGGGAAGGUGCUCACUCUGGAUAGACUCCAGAUAAGAGGGGGUGCAAAUCCCAAAUUGUUGUUUUUUGUGUGGUUGUGAAGAAGAGAAUGUAAAUCAUAUUCUUUUACACUGUAUAGUGACUAGAGCCCUUUGGGAUAUUAUUUUUGGGUUGAUAGAUAUUAAGUGGGUCCUCCCAGAAACUGUUAAGGAGGCUUUAACCUCCUGGAGGGGUUCAUUUGUAGGGAAGAAAAGGAAACAGAUUUGGAAAUCCAUUCCGUUGUGUAUUUUUUGGACGGUCUGGAAGGAGAGGAAUAGGUUAGCCUUUAGGGGGGGUGCGGUGAAUGUUCAGAGAUUAAAGAAUUCUUUUGUUUGUAAUUUAUGGAAUUGAGCCAAAGUGUAUUUAGGUGAGGAGUCUUUCUCCCUUAUAGGUUUCUUGGAGUGGAUAGCUUCCACUUGAGGGGAGGUAGUUCUUUUUGGUCCUUUUUCUCUUUUUGAGGCUAUAGCUGUCUUGUAUACUCCCUGUAUGCUUUGUGGCGUUUAGCCUUUCUAAUGCAUAUCUUGUUUACUUAUCAAAAAAAAAAAAACAAUCUGAUGAUGAUGGGAAUUAUUUUAAGUUUUUAUUUUAUUUUUUAUAUUAGCAUCAAGGGAAUCACCUUCAGGAAGUACAUUGCUAAAACCAAGAUACAUGACAUAGAGACAACAAAAACCUAACCAUAGAAAGGAAUCAUAUGAUUUCUUUGAUGGAACCAAUGUAAAAUGGAUAUUUAUUUAUUUAUUUUUUUAUGGUGGGACACGGUCAUUUCAUUGAACAGCAAUAGCAAAAAGGUUACAAGAAGGAUUAGUUAUCUUUCAAUCUGAAAACAAGAAAGAGCCGCUACAAAAUGGUGCUUCAUCAGUCCAAGGACCUAGCAGUAGAUUCUUCAAGAUGAUGGUGGGCAUGACAGAAAAACUAGUUUCUUUCUAUCCUACUCUCCUUGUCCUUUGUUCUUCUGGCACACAAGAUAUAGCUUCACUUUCAAACUUCAAGUGCUGGAGAGUAAAGUGGACUGCUAAUGAGCCAAUUUUGUCAGUUUAGUCCUCUUUUUGCUGAUCACAAUGAGGAAAGUGAGAACUAUUCACAAUAAACAAAGAUGGAAAUAUUCUUAAUAACCUACUUAGCAAGAAAAGGAAAAAGAAGCGCGGGUAAUAAGCUUGACAGUUGAUGCCUCUUGGAUGAGAGUGGAACAAAUUACUAACAAGGGACCAUUCACUUUUAACACUUGUAAAUAUUUUAACCUAAGUAGAGAACAUUGUCAUAUGACUAAUAAUCACAUCAAAAUUAGAAAUUCAAGAUAAGUUGAAGUAUUGAGAAAAUACAUAGAUAGUCUAAUGACUUUGACCCCUUAAUAUGUAUGUGCAAUUAAAAUCAUUUAACUCAUGAAAGGUAUUAAUUCAUUUUAUUAUAACUAUUGUCAAGUUCAUAGUCAUCCCUAUAUUUUUAAUAUAACAACCUCAAAUGUUGCACUUAAGCUAGUGGUCUAAUAAUAUAAAUUUAAAAGUUGAUAUAGGCAUAAAUAAAUGAGCAUAUAUCAAUAAUGUUUUCAUAUGUACAAUUAUUGAUAGAUACAAAAUCAUCUUUAGAUUUAUCAUGUGGCAACCUUGAAUAUUGCACUC
rnacentral:lncRNA from 1 species